CAGUGUUCCCUGCCCUCACGGGUAGGAUCGCCCACCCUUGAAUAUGAUGUUUGUUGCUUUGGCGGGCCUUGGGGUCCCCCCCUCCCGCUCUGCGGGGGAGCGCCCGCCAGAGGACCCUCAACCCUGAAUAGUUAGUGUCGUCUGAGUACUAUAUAAUACUAUA
rnacentral:misc_RNA from 1 species